GACCACACACACACACACACACACACACACACACACACACACACACACACAAUUAAGGUUCUUGAUCUAGCCAGAGUAAGUUUCCUAGGUCUCUCUCUCACUCUCUCUCUCUCUCUCUCUCUCUCACACACACACACACACACACACACACACAAUCAAGGUUCUUGAUCUAGCCAGAGUAAGUUUCCCAGGUUGCCUCCAUCCUUUGUCAAUGCACUAGAUUUGAA